rnacentral:rRNA from 1 species
GAUGAACGCUGGCGGCGUGCCUAAUACAUGCAAGUCGAGCGAACGGACGAGAAGCUUGCUUCUCUGAUGUUAGCGGCGGACGGGUGAGUAACACGUGGAUAACCUACCUAUAAGACUGGGAUAACUUCGGGAAACCGGAGCUAAUACCGGAUAAUAUUUUGAACCGCAUGGUUCAAAAGUGAAAGACGGUCUUGCUGUCACUUAUAGAUGGAUCCGCCCUGCAUUAGCUAGUUGGUAAGGUAACGGCUUACCAAGGCAACGAUGCGUAGCCGACCUUAGAGGGUGAUCGCCCACACUGGAACUGAGACACGGUCCAGACUCCUACGGGAGGCAGCAGUAGGGAAUCUUCCGCAAUGGGCGAAAGCCUGACGGAGCAACGCCGCGUGAGUGAUGAAGGUCUUCGGAUCGUAAAACUCUGUUAUUAGGGAAGAACAUAUGUGUAAGUAACUGUGCACAUCUUGACGGUACCUAAUCAGAAAGCCACGGCUAACUACGUG